rnacentral:tRNA from 1 species
GCGAAAGUGGCGGAACUGGUAGACGCGCGUGACUUAGGAUCACGUCCCGCAAGGGGUGGGGGUUCGAGUCCCCCCUUUCGCA